AUACGGAGGAUCCGAGCGUUAUCCGGAUUUAUUGGGUUUAAAGGGUGCGCAGGCGGGAGGUUAAGUCGGCGGGGACAUUUUUGCGGCCAACUGGAAAAAGGGCUUCGGAACAGGGUUCCUUGGGGGUAGUUGGAGUAAGGGGGAUUUUGUGGGGUAGGGGUGAAUGCAUAGAUUUUACGAGGAAAUCCGAUUGCGCAGGCAGCUUACUAAACUACUACUGACGCUCAGGCUCGAAGGCGUGGGGAUCAAACAGGAUUAGAUACCCUGGUAGUCCACGCAGUAAACGAUGAAUACUAGUUGUCUGCGAUAUAUUGUAGGUGACACAGCGAAAGCGUUAAGUAUUCCACCUGGGGAGUACGUUCGCAAGAAUGAAACUCAAAGGAAUUGACGGGG
rnacentral:rRNA from 1 species